ACGAAUAACUAUGGUGUCUUGGUUGUAGCUGGCUCCUCGGAGCAAUGUGCACGCCCGCCAUUUUUAUCUUUCCACCUGUGCACCGACUGUAGGUCUGGAUACCUCUCGCCCUUCACGGGGCGGAUGCGAGGGUUGCCCGUCACACGGCUCCCCUCGAAUUUCCAGGCUCUACGUCUUUUUACACACCCCAAUAGUAUGAUGCAGAAUGUAGUCAAUGGGCUUCUCAGCCUAUAAAACACUAUA
rnacentral:misc_RNA from 1 species